CCUACGGGGGGCAGCAGUGGGGGAUAUUGCACAAUGGGGGAAACCCUGAUGCAGCGACGCCGCGUGAGUGAAGAAGUAUUUCGGUAUGUAAAGCUCUAUCAGCAGGGAAGAAAAUGACAGUACCUGACCAAGAAGCCCCGGCUAACUACGUGCCAGCAGCCGCGGUAAUACGUAGGGGGCAAGCGUUAUCCGGAUUUACUGGGGGGAAAGGGAGCGUAGACGGUUAUGUAAGUCUGGAGUGAAAGCCCGGGGCCCAACCCCGGGACCGCUUUGGAAACUGUGUAACUUGAGUACAGGAGGGGCAGGCGGAAGUCCUGGUGUAGCGAUGAAAUGCGUCGAUAUCAGGAGGAACACCGGCGGCGAAGGCGGCCUGCUGGACUGAAACUGACGUUGAGGCUCGAAAGCGUGGGGAGCAAACAGGAUUAGAUACCCCAGUAGUC
rnacentral:rRNA from 1 species